CAAACCCUAAACUCUCAAAAAUUCUUUUACAUGCCUUUCUAAAAUUAAUGAUUUCAAAGCUUACCGGUUGUGCCGAAGACAUUCAUUCUUGUUUUAUUUGGACAUGGUAACGAAGACCUUUUUGUUCAGCCUCACCACUUUGAUCUCAUCUCUGAAUCAUAUAAGGGAGAUAAAAAUAUGAUAAAAUUUGACGGUGAUCACAACUCCACUCGACCACAAAUCUUCUAUGAUUCAGUUUGUAUAUUUUUCUACAAUGUCCUCCGCCCUUCUAUGAUUGAGUAUGACUCGGUUCUGCUAUGAAUUAGGUAAUAUCAUUUAGAAUUAUGUGGAUGUUAGUUGAACAAUAGACACUAAUUUGAUCUUGCUUGCUUGCCAGGGCCUACUAUAUGAUAUACUCUCUAGUAUACGGUCUUCAACUACUAACGCUGCUAGUUGAUCUUUUGCUCUUCCAAACGUUUUGAAAUCGACCAUAACAUCAAUUAGUGAACUUCUUUAAAGAAUUGCUUCAGUGACUAGAAUUGCUUCAGUGACUGUUACAAUAGGACAAACUCUUUCAUCUGUCCAUGUUAUUUUCUUCCAAAAGGUUUUUUUGUCUAAUUUAUUAAUUGCUUGUAAUGCAGGAGUCUGUGAUUAGAGAACACAAAGCACAUGACUAUGGUAAACCUUGCCUUGAUGAGUCUGCAGACGAAAAGUGCUUUAAACAUUUCAAUGGUUCUACAAGAUGAUCAAAAUUGUCCAGCUGAAGACUUUUUCUCAUAUAGUGGCUCAACAAGAGAAAGUUGAGGCAAAUGCCCUUCUUUUGGACUCAUUGAUGAAGAAUCUUAUCCCGAUUUUAGGGGUGAUGAUAACGAUUCUAA